UCCGUAGGCGGGUAAUUAAGUCAGAGGUGAAAUCCCACAGCUUAACUGUGGAACUGCCUUAGAUACUGGUUAUCUUGGGUUUUAGUGAAGUAGAUAGAAUGUGUAGUGUAGCGGUGAAAUGCAUAGAUAUUACACAGAAUACCGAUUGCGAAGGCAGUCUACUAACUAACAACUGACGCUAAUGGACGAAAGCGUGGGGAGCGAACAGGAUUAGAUACCCUGGUAGUCC
rnacentral:rRNA from 1 species